rnacentral:rRNA from 1 species
UCUCCUGGAAAACGGGUGGUAAUGCCGGAUGCUCCAGUUGAUCGCAUGGUCUUCUGGGAAAGCUUUCGCGGUAUGGGAUGGGGUCGCGUCCUAUCAGCUUGACGGCGGGGUAACGGCCCACCGUGGCUUCGACGGGUAGCCGGCCUGAGAGGGCGACCGGCCACAUUGGGACUGAGAUACGGCCCAGACUCCUACGGGAGGCAGCAGUGGGGAAUAUUGCACAAUGGGCGCAAGCCUGAUGCAGCGACGCCGCGUGAGGGAUGGAGGCCUUCGGGUUGUAAACCUCUUUUAUCGGGGAGCAAGCGAGAGUGAGUUUACCCGUUGAAUAAGCACCGGCUAACUACGUGCCAGCAGCCGCGGUAAUACGUAGGGUGCAAGCGUUAUCCGGAAUUAUUGGGCGUAAAGGGCUCGUAGGCGGUUCGUCGCGUCCGGUGUGAAAGUCCAUCGCUUAACGGUGGAUCCGCGCCGGGUACGGGCGGGCUUGAGUGCGGUAGGGGAGACUGGAAUUCCCGGUGUAACGGUGGAAUGUGUAGAUAUCGGAAAA